rnacentral:snRNA from 1 species
GUGCUCGCUUCGGCAGCACAUAUACUAAAGUUGGAACCAUACGGAGAAGAUUAGCAUGGCCCCUGUGCAAGGAUGACACACAAAUUCAUGAAGCGUUCCACAUUUUU